UACACUUGGUAACGAGCGGCGAAUGACUGGAUGAUUUUUCUCGCUGAUGUACUUACAUCUAUAAACCAGCAGGCAGCCUCGUCCAAAUCUGGCCACACGAUCCAGUAUGGAAGGUCGUCCUUGCAUGCAAACUGCACCCACGCCAUGAACCCUGAAACCAGAAUAGAGGCACCCCUAGAGCUUACAAUGCGUACUGCAGGAAACUGCGCAUUGUUGAGGACUGAUCGCGCAGCAUUGAGUUCCAGGAUCUUAAAAAUAAAUAGUUAUAGAUGCAAUUCAGGUUUAAUUUAACGAGAAGUGAAGAGAUUUCGCAUUUGAAAAUUGAUUACCUUGUUAUGCUGUUGUGUUUUAACUUCCGUAUUUGAUUUCAGUCAGAACAUCUUAUUUAGAGCAUUGAAAAUUGGCAGUUUAGAACCAAAAUUAUUAUUUAUUUAUGGAACAACAUAUGUGUGGGUGUUUUUAUAAUAGAUUUGAUAUAUAGUCUGAAAUUUUAAAAUUUAGGCUAGAACACCGUCCUGAUUUUUUUGGUUGUUGUUUUUUGGUGCUAUAGAAGUGUCAAAGUAAUCAGGUUUGCCUGGAAAAAUUUAUAAAGUGAGGAAAUAAAAAUUGCACGAUCGGUCAAUUUUGACCGGUGAGAUAUGCUAGGAGUCAAGAGGUCAUAUAAGACAGAUACAGUAUGUUUCGGUAUAAAACCCUUAUCAGCUAGCUUUAGUGCAAACGUAUUAAUACAUAAUAUAUCGAAACAAUUAAAUUUGAUGCGCGCCAUCUCCAAGACCGGCAGCUUGCAUCGGACAAAACGCCAGGCAUUCAUGCAUUCUUGUCUAAUUGUAAGAUCUGUAUAUAUUUUGAAAUCAUGCGCAAUAUUCCUGAACCAAUUUUGACUAUGUGAGAAAUAAGAUAAAUCGGAUGCCAGGCGUUUUUGUUCAACACAAGCUGCUGGCUUAAAAUCCUGGUUAUAACCACUAGCUAUAGUUAUAGUGACGGACGGAGAUGAGUGCGUCUGCACGAAAUUCUAUCUCGUACAGGUUUGUUGCCAGCUAAGCAAUUUUGGGACAUGGGUGAUGGGAUAUCUUCACAGGCCAGGACUGGUAAUCGGGCGCACCGAGCGAAACCCCGGUGGGCCGCGGCCCAAGUGGGCCGCCCGGACCGCCCAAUAAUGCUAAGACUUGCCUGUCAAGGUGUCAAGCGGCCCGCGUUUGUGGCUGUCGCGGCCCAUAUUUUUUAGUUUCAAAGUAAUCUUUAUUAUGGUUCUGCAGGGCUAUUUUGCCCCAUACAUUGCCAUAUCCAGACAAAAUAAUGUCAGUUUGAACAUAAUUGUUUACAAGAGAGGUGAUUCAAUAUUUUUUGAGGUACUUUUAGUGGCUUUUCUGUGUUGAGACUGGGGCUGGAGGCAACACAAGCUCUUAUAAUUCAAUUCUUUGUUUUGGCUAAAAUUAUUUCAUAAUCAAAGGAAAAAAAUUAAAAAAAAAUCGAAAAAUAAAGGCUUUUUGGCCGUUUGGCCCGCGCAUCCUCAUCAUUGAAUUCAUAUUAUGAUAUUUUUGUUGAGGAAUGAGUAUACGGGAAAAACCAAUGCCAUCAUAUCCUUCAUUUUUCCGUCUUUCCAUAUAAUGGAAAAUAAAUAAAACUGAGAACUUGAUCAGGUACUAGUGAUCGGCGCCCCCCCCCCCCCCCUUCGAGAUGACAAAAUUCACUUUGCGCUUUGUGUGUUUGAAACUAGCGGAAAAUAUUGAAUACAUUAUUUGGACUACAUUUUUACUAGACUUUGAUACAAAAAGGCCAAUAAACGGCCCAAGUAUCUGAAGCUUCUUUUUCCAUUUUCGAAUUUUUGACCGGCGGCUGGCGUGCCUGGUGAGCUAAAAUCAAAGCGGCUGGCCAAAAUUUUGCGAGCCUGGCUGAUGUGAGUGCUCUAGCAUACAUUUCUAUUUUUAUUUCAAAUUCGAAUAUUUAAACAAUAUUCAAGAAAAAAAAUGUAUGUCUUACUGAUUCGUUCAAAAGGUAAAAUAGGUUGGAUUAAUCUGACAAAAAUUUGAUGAAAAAUAUUUAUUGCUCUGAAUAACCUCUGACAAGAGUGAAUUUUGAGCAAUACACCUAGAUUUUAGCAACGCAACCUUACUCAAAUAUCAGAUUUUUCCAAAUUAAGGCCAGAAUAGGUCGAUUAUUGAUUAAUUUAACGUUACUCUUCAGGCUGUCGGGGCCACGCGGUGUAACUCGAUCGAAUCGGCUGGCGCCACGUUGGGGCAGCAGGAAAUAUAUCUAAAAUUGGGCAGCCAGUAUUAGACACCCGAAAUAAACGAGCCUUGCGCGGAGGGCUUGUUUAAGGGUCCGUUUCAGCGUCGCUCCAAGCGGCGCGCGGUCAUGACGGCGGCAUCUCCCUUUAUACGUACACAAGCGGGGUCCAGAUUCGUGCGAUGCGCAGAUAUGGCGUAUAGUGGAGUAUGGCGCGAAUUAACGGUCACGUGCCACGUGAAAGUGCGCGAAAAGAACCAAGUUUUUGUAAAUAUUGUGACAUAAUAUGCAUUACUUGUACUAAUUGUGUCUUUUAGAUAAGUUUAAAAACAAACACUUGACACUCAUACGGGAAUCCAAAGAGAGCUUUUUGUUUCCCAUAUUCACACGCCAUCUUGGCCCCCGCUGAUACACACUCCCUCUCUUUACACACACUUCCCUUGGUAGCUCUAGGUUGCUCGUGCACCCCGUUUGAAUUUUUUACGCCACCUUUGAAGUUUGAAGUCAAUUCAAUAACCCGUUUGCAAACUGCUCCUGGUGGCCACUCGCGGUUCCACACCCCGUUUGGCAUUCAACACUGCCCUUGGUCGAAUCUCUGUUUAACACUUCCCUGGUUAAGACACGUUGAUCAACACUCUCUGAGGUUUGCGGAAUUUUACACCACCCCAGGAGACCUCCAGGGAAACAAAAAUGGUUUUAAAAAUAAAUUCGUCAACCUUUCUAUCAUCAAAAAUCUACGUUUCCAAAACUUUGUACGUUUUUUAUUACAUUAUUUCUUAUUAAAUUUAAAAAAUCCGGAUGGUGCUCAAACAAAAGUUUUAAUAACUUCAAACCAUAAUAUCAGAUCUAAAAAACCCGUGUCUUUUUUUAGGGGAAAAAUCUCAAAUCUGUAGGGUUUUAGGAAUUUUUAGAAUCUGCUACCUUGUUAAAAAUAAAGAGUGUAAGAAAAGUAGCUUUUUAUAUAUUUUAUAAUUUACUUAUGCUAUUUUAGCAAGUAUAAAUGAAUUUUCGCUUUAAAUAGUGCAAUCAAAUAGGUAAUUAAAUCGAAGGAAACCCAAUAGAUGCCAAGCAAAAUUGAUCAUUGCACAUGCACAAGUAUUGAGUUUAAUUUAAUAUUGGUUUUAAUUCGAUUUAAUUACUAUAUACCAUAUCAUAUGUAUGUAAUGGUCAAUCGGAUCACGGCCGGACUGCCAAACUUUUCAAGAGUCUUCUAUAAACUUUAAAAAAAUGCAAUCUCCACACUUUAGAAAAGCCAAUGAUGUAAACAUAUUCUGGAAAUCUAAAGUUUUAUAUUUUUCAGCUGCGGGUUUCUUGAAACAUCCUGGAUUGCCGGCUUCGUCGCUGAAUGAGUGCUGUACAAUGCCCCUCCGACGACGCUACCCCCUGCUAGCGGAGAAAAUCAAGCUAUCGAAGGUCACCCGCUUCAGGCAGCUGCAACCCCAUUCAAAAGUAAACAGGGCUCGUCGGGUUAUCUUUUUGGCUGAUGUACACACAUCUAAACCAGCAGGCAGCUUCGUCCAAAUCUGGCCACACGAUCCAGUAUGGAAGGUCGUCCUCGGACGCGAACUGCACCCACGCCAUGAAACCUGAAACAAGAGCAGGCACCCCCAGAGCAUAUAAUGCGUACAGCGGAAAACUGCUUGUUGAGAGAGACAGGCCACUCAGCAUCGAGUUCCAUGAUCUGAAAAAUUCAAUUGAAUUAGGAUAUAUCUAGCUUGCAGCAAAGAACAAUCAGAUAAGUAUUUAUAUCCCAGGUAUUGUGUUGCUUUGUUUAAAAGUUAUCUUUCCUCGUGUUUUCAGAUUAUCCAACCUGCAUUCAGUUUCAAACCCUGGCUUUACCUAUAAUUAGAAAAUUAUUGAAAACUGAGGUUGUGCAAAACUGUUAAAAAUUAAAAAAACCUCUUUACUUAUUUUUUUGUUAAUUCGUUUUUUUUGCAACCCUGAAAUUUGUGGAAUUCUUGCGCAUUCUGUAAAAGUUGGCAGAAAAUAUAUGGUUGAAUUUAGCAGCGAAAAAUUAUCUCUAGAUAAAAAGGCAACUGACAAGUAUGAUCGAUAUUUUAAUUCUUUUGUCCUUCAAAUUUCAGAUCCACUGGCUCAGUAUUUUCAACAGUUUCAUGAUGGUCAUUCCCUUGUUGGCCUGGUGAGAACGCUGAGGAAAGACUACGCAAGAUACAGCAAAGAUGAAGAAAUGGAUCGCGAUUUUGGAUUUCGGCGACGAGUACGUUUGGAAGCAGGUUCACGGUGAUGUGUUCAGGACCGCCUCGCAGCCCUGACAGGAACGGGCCAUCAGGUCGUCACGGUUUCCUUCUGCGUCAUAAUCUUCGCCAUUCUGAGAGAGCUCUACACCGAACGAGGCUCUCUGCUGAUGAGCACGGCCAUCUUUGUUCACGCUGCGACCUGUACGCCUGGAGCAAGGUGUGGAUUGCUGUCCGAUGGCCUUCCUGCUGCCGGCGACGGUGUGCGGAACCGCUGUCCUCAUCAACUUCAUCACCUUUUACUACCACGCCAUUCAGUUUGGCACCAUGGUGGCUGUGACCUGCAUCUGCCUGUUUGUCAUCCUGCCGCUGACCCUGCUUAACAGCAUGAUCCGCUUGCGCCCGUUGGCACAGCUGCUCGCCAACCCUGAGCGAGCUCACGAGACCCCCGGGGGAGACCGGUUCCUCCUAAAUAACAUGAAACUGCAGGCCGCGCUGGAGGUGGAACUCCUUAGGAGGCUGAAGCGCGCGGAGAUGGAGUCCCUGAGGACGCAGAAGCGCGCGGAGAUUCUGCGAGCGCGGAGGAAAUUAGUGUAUACAUAGAGCUCCUCAUCACGCCGCAGGUUGGAUAGCUCCUGAAUAAUGUACAAAGUUUGUUUAUAUUUGUAAAUAUAUUUGUAAAUAAAUUUGUAAUUAUAUAUAUUUGUAUAUAAUAUGCUCAAAGAAAUUAAGAUUGUUUUAAUCCUUCCUUAAAUCCUUAAAUUAUAAAAAAUGAACAAUUUAAAACAGAAGUUGCUCAUUAGACAAAAUUUAAUCAAAUAGCGAAAAUAAUUUUGAAAAUGAAGGUGCCAUCUAUAUUUUUAAUCGCGUAGACCAAAAGGAAUUUCAAAUUUCGUCACUUAUUUCUUCAGGUCUCAUUUAUUUCAUCCACCGGGUGCAAUUUUAAGGUAAAUUGUACGCCUAUUGAGCAAGAGCAGCAAACCUUGUCUUGCUAUUGCGACAUUUUUGCGAGUGUGUGAGUCUGUGAAUAGGUGCUGGGUGCUUCUUUUCCCCCAAAUUCACGUCUUUGAUUCCGCGCGUCCUGCCCAGUAACGCCAUCUGCCAGUCUAUUUCCUGUUUCUACUUUAGCCACGCCCAGCCACGCCCACCCGUUGUUUCUGUUUACAAACUUCAGCAGAUCGGCUAGCCGCGGCAAACAAUCACAUCAUCAGAACGAAAAUUAAUCUUUUUUUUAGGUUUAAAGUGAAUUCACCAAUCACCAAUCGCGUUCAGUUGAUGGAAUGAAAAAUUCUGGAUAAAUUCUUCGUGCAGAAAGAAAACAAACCUUCGUAGGAGCUUAAAAAUAAAGCAAAAAGAGCAAGCGAGAGGCGCAGUCCAGACAGAGACGAUGAGCGGCGCCGAGAUCGAGAGAGGAGAGACAGGGAAGAAGCCUCAACCAGCAGGGCAAGAAGGAUACAGUUCGCCACCUGAGAAGCGACAGUACAUCAUUUGGACGCACAAGAAGUUUGACAUUGGAUUGUCUACGUCAAAUUGACCUCCGAGAACAAAGUUGGGCUGGACCUGAAUGCCAAAAUUCCUUUCACCUAUAUACGAAGUCAAUUUAAAUAGGCGACUGAGUACGAGGACCGAUUCGACAAGUACUUGGGCCCUAUAUAACUUCUUCCAGCACAGAGACAUCGGCCUGGAGUACAACUGAUAUUUGCAGUAAGUUCAGACCUUGGAGAGUGACCCUGAGUUCAGGGAAAAAGCUGAAGUGGCUGACAUCAGGACGGGAAAAUCGCGUCUGAACUAGAGUUUGUGAACCACAACAUCCGAUCCAAGUUGGGACGAACUCAAGAGAACUGAGAUGGAGAGAUUGCGUCAUUUGGCCAUCAAAGAAUACGAGCUGAAGCAGGCGGAGAAGUAGGACAAAAUGAAAGGACCCAACGCACGGAGAUUGGAGAUGGGGAUAAAAACGAAAUCGGCCACGAAAAUAAAGCUGCCUCACCAUCUGGACCACAUCAACCCUCACAGAUUUAAAAUCGAGGAUCUAAGGAAACACUCAAUGUUCAAGGACGGCGCCGCAACCACAUAUUCCAAAAAUAUAUGACGAGAGUUACUUUUAUUAAAUAUGGCUAUGUUUGCCUUUACUUCUGUUGUUAUAAGUUGAAAAUCAUUCGUUUGCAACGUAGUGUAUAAAAAUAUUACAAUUAUUUAUUUUUAAACCCGUUUUUGAAAAUGAAAUGGAAAUUUCGACAAAAGCAAGAUUUUCCAGAAGGAGUCCUUAAACAAACUAAAAAAUUUUAAAGCCGUCUAAUUGAAAACCUAUUCAGCACCAAAAAUUGUUAUGAAAAAUUCGACUACGCUGCGAAUUUAGAAUGUCUAAUCUUAUGAUCUUCAAUACAAAUGUCUGAUAUUCUGUAAAAGCGCAAAAAAAGGGUUUUCGCGAUGCAGUGUAUUUUCUUGAAAAAUGCGGGUUAUUUUGAACCCUCUCUGCUAUCUUCUGUAGAGUUCAAUGCUUGCAAGAGCAUUACACAGUAUGAAUGGCAGCCUCCCUUCUUUAUAUUGCUCUGAACAUAUGUUUCUUGAAUCACUCAAAAGCGGCAAAGUUGUAAUAAUGAGAAAUAAAUUCGUUAAAUAUUCAAAAUUUGCCUGACGCUUGACAA